rnacentral:lncRNA from 1 species
UUGCUUACAUCAUAUUAGCCCAUUUAAUUUCUGUCUUGGGUAUCCAGAAUUUGGUUGCUACUCAGUGGACAACUACUUGAAUCUUGGUUGUCCUCCAUUUAUGGCGUUGAGCAUAGUGUCCGAAAGUAAAUAUCUGGUAGUUUAAAGAUUAGUGAUUUGGUGCUAGGCAAUAAUCUACCUCACAUUUCCUGUUUCCUAUAUUUUGGUCAUUCUAGUUAGCAUUCCUCCAUUUUAAAUCAAAUGAUUAAAUGAUGAUAGAUGUGAUUCUUGAAUUGAUUGGGUUGAUUGUUUUGCAUUUUAAUGUUUAUCCAUUUAACUUGAUUUUCUUGUAGUGGUAGGAGCCGCAGCUAUGAUCGGAGACGGUACUCACCUCAAUAUUCCAGAUCUCCACCUCCACGUUACGCAAGGUCACGAUCCCGCAGCCGUGGCUAUAUUCCUAAAAGGAGGCAGUACUCUAGGUAUGCCAGAGUAUUAUUUUAUGUUUAUUGUACGUUUAUGUUGUAUUAAAUCCUUGGUGUAACUAAAGGUGCUCUAGGUCUUUAAUUACAUGUGUGCAUCCAACAACCAACCAAGGUGUUAGCCUAUCUGCUGAUGUUAACUUCAAUUUUGUGCAUCAUUGCAUGUUGCUUGGCUUAUAUUAUCACUUGGGUUGCUUUUUGUGCGAAAAAUUAUAUUUUAGAUUUUUGUUCAAAUCCAAAUUUCCAUCUUUUUGUUAAUGAUGAUUUACUCCUCACUUUGCAGGUCUGUUUCACCUGAAGAGAAAAGAUACAACCGUGAGAGAUCAUACUCGCAUUCCCCUGCAGGGGACAUUUCUCCACCGUAUAAUGGCUCAAGGAGUCGCAGUCAAACUCCAGUCAGAGAGCAUUCACCAUAUGAUGAUGGUCGAAGGAGCCGCAGCAGAAGUCCAGUUAAGGAGCG